UUUUAAAAUAAAAAAUAUCCGCCUGCCGCCUGCGUCCUUGGUGGCCUACAUUCAUGCCAUCUCGGUGCUCACCGCCAGCCUCAGCACCUCAUCGACGCGCUCACCGUCAGGGUGGUCGGCGACGACAAACUCAACUUCGUGUACAUCGUCACCUCCGACGUCGCGCCGUUCAUCAUCAAGCACGUUCAUGCGCCAGCCCACCACAUCGCUGACGUGCUAGCGUUACUGUUGGUUCCCUCCCCACCUCGCCUCUCGGCUCAUCGGCUGCCGCCUCUAGCCGUUGGUCCGCCGCCGCCGUCCUCAACCCCUCCCCACCGACGCGCCGUCGACAACCUCUCCCAUCCCGUGGCUGCGCUCGCCCCGUCCUCGUCGGCGACGCAGCAAUCUUCCGUGUGGACCCGUCUCUGUCACCAGCAGCGACAGGACAAUGGCGCUCCGCAAGUUUAUGUGGGCUAAUGUCUUUUUGUACAAAUCCUAAGUAUGUGACGCAGACAAGAAGCAUAGUAAAUUGAGCUAAGUUUCUUGCUGAUUUUCCAUGUCAUCUGCUUUGUAGAAGCUGCUACAUCAAAUUAAAGGGAUUCAUUUAUAUAUUGAUGCAUAUAUGAUCCGGUUCCUUAGAAGGACCGAUACACCGGAAAGGCGUUCCAGGUAACAAGGAGGAACUCGUGAUUUCCAGGGUCGGAUGAAUUGUAGAGGCUUUCACCGGCUGCUACAUCUUCAUAUUAUCAUUCAAGUAAGUAUGUUGUGUACUGGAAGUCUGGAAGUAAGCAUCGGUCGGUGUACUUUACCUUGACCUGAUGAAAAAUUUGGUGCCGGAAAGUUAUUUUUCUGUAAAGUUACUACAUGAAUUUGUUCCGAAGAUGACAACCAAUAAUGAUUUUUUUAUCCGGCCGUGUUAUUUUUCUGUAAAGUUACUACAUGAUUACAUGAUCUAUUAAACUCUAUCUGUUAGCAAAUCAUGGUAGUACGGACACAUGCAAUCUUUGAUCGGUGUUGCAUUUUGAGAAUAACUAUUAUUGCUUCCCGUACAUUCUUGGCUCGCAGGAACAUAACAUGAGUUCAUCUAACUUUUUUAUAUUUGGUUUCAUUCGGUAGUUGUGGUUUUUGAUUCUGAUUGUGUACCAGAUGCAACAUUUGUUUGGUAGGCCUAUACUCCAGUGGAAUCGUUGAGAUCAUAGGAGGAUAGGAAGGAAAAGUAUAUUACAUAUUCGGGUUCAGUGGUAAAUGCUUCCCUACGUUCAUCAUUCACAUAUAAUUUCUUUCUAUAUGUAGUUUUCUCGCUGGUGGAAUAAAACAAGAACAAAUAUCGUGUGUGAUUUAAGCAUUUUAUUUCUUCCUUUCGUUCUUCAGAGGAUUGUUAAUGUAUAGUGGAACAAUGGAACAAAAUCAGAAGUGAAGCAUAACAUAUUUUCAGCGGAGUAACAAAACGUAGGACAAUUCAUAUUGGUUUCCAGAUGUGUGAGCACAUAUUGGUUUUAUUGUAGAUCUGUUGCAACACACGGGUACUUUGCUAUUAUGUUUGAAUGCUGAAUUGUAGCAAUAUUGAUCAGGGCAAUGCUUUACUGAGCUAAGGGUACUACGUUGCACAAGAAACGAUGCAUGUCCAUCUUACUGAGUUAAUGUCUCCACAAGUUCUCAUUUUACUGAGCAUUUUAUUCAGUUAUGUAGGCUCUUGUUAUAUACUAUCAGGAGUCCUUUGAAAGAAAAGAUGUUUACGGGUAUUACUCAAGUGGCAAUUGGAUACCUCCAAAUACAAGUGCAGAGCCUAAUUUUUUAGUAUUCCACCAUCUAUAAAGGGUUCUAGAGUCAGGCUCACAAUAUUUGAAUUGCAUUUGUCUGUAUGUUUUUAGAAUCUCUGAAUUUUGUUAGUUUUCUGUUUUUGCCUUGAUAUAACUAUAUACUCUAUAGUGCCACGAACAUUAGAGUUUGGCCCACUUUUUGCUGGUGAUACGAUGGAGCAACUGUACCUUUGUUUAAUUUGUAUUUUUAAUGAUUAAGCAAUGCAAGAGGUUUCAAUAAAUGCUAUACUACAUACACAUGCAUCUUUAUCAUACUGAUCUCCUAUAUUGUGGUAAUCAUGGCAUCAGACUGCAGGUUAGUUGGGAUACAUACUUGAGAACUUUAUGUAAACAUGACAUCAAACUGCAGGUUUUAGCUACAAUAUCUAACAGAGCAUAUGGAAAGUUGUAUCUGUAGCGAAUCUAGGUUUCUUAUUCUCUCUACAGAAUAAGAUAGCAUAAGUAUUUUCAUUGAUGAGAGGUGUGUUAAGAAAAUAAUGAGAAAAAAUAUUUCCAUUUGACCUUGUGAUAAAUUGGAAAAUAUUAUGGCAAUUUCUAGGCUGAAACCAUGAAAAAAGUUGUCUUGGAAUGAUUGUCACUCUUGAUUUUUGAGCUCCUCUUUUUUUCUAACAGUGCUGGGGAAUGAAAUGUAAGAGAACCAUUGUUUCCCAAGCUCUCAAGGUUGCAUUUCAGUGGUGCAAUGACAUAUAAUGGUGUUAUUCACAACAUGAAAGCCUGCAACAGAUUCAGGUCAUUGGUGAUUUAACAACAUGGUGAAGUUUGCUUCCACAAUAUACUUGAUCUUCGUCCUGGGGAAAGGAAAGUGCUUUUGUACGGGUAUAUUGUUUUAUAUAUAUGAUAUGAAUCAUGGAUUAAUUUGGAUAUAUAAUCCUUUUACAGUGUAAACUAUUUAUGUAUAAGUUUAUCUAAGUGUGCUAAUAGUGUUAAUCUUAGCAAUAGGGGCCACAAUUCCGGCUGCUGUUAGGGCUUUUCAAACACUGAUUUUGUAUAUUCUGUCCCGCAAAAGAUAAUUCAUUACGAUUUUUUUCUCCUUUCCUAGGGGGUGGAGUGGGGGAGGGGGAUCAUUAGGAAAUAUAGUUUUUUUAUUUUAAAAAAAAUCAGAAUACAUAUUCAUUUAUACUCACACGAAUUCCAGGUGCAUUUUUGUGACUUGUGUUGCACAUGCAAGUUUAAUGAUAAUUUGUGCUAGAAUCUAGGUUUCUUUGGGAAGCGCUUAAUUUUUACGUUAUAAGCAUAUAUGCAAGUAUCUUUCCAUUGGAUGUACCCCCUAUUGAAGCAAACUAGGUGUUAGGGCGCGCCCGUGGCGCGCCUCUUGAGGGGGAGCUGGGCGGUGCCUGGUUGUAGUCGCCCCUUUAACACCGAUUUCUAUUCUAAUUAGCGUUUGGGAUAAUUGCUUUAAUUAAGAAACUUAGCAGCAGAAAUAGAAAUAUAUAUACAGAGAAAGCUCAUUAUGGAUCUGAACAUGAAACAUCUGACUGAGAAUAGUGCAUUUAACAUAAGCAGCAACAUAGGUUUAGCGUCUUGAAAAGCAUGUGAUAAGAGGGCCCAAAAGCAAACCAUAGGUUAUCACAGGAUAGAGUAUAAUUAGGAGUACUUAGUGAUUAUAUUGACACAGGGGCUGCAGUGUCUUUGAUGGUGCACGGUGAGAACCAGGCGGCGCUUUGAAGUGAUCAUGAAACAAAAUGCACAGAUGUCUCCUUCACGAAUGUUGGCGCGGCGACGAAACUCAGACCAGUUGGUGGUUAUAGUGACCCUCUUGUCAGUUCCUAGCGUGAUGCGACAUUCGGCGAGCAGAUGGCCGUCUGCAAGUAUGACCAUGAGUGUAUCAUUGUUUGGAUCAAUGUAGUCCAACAGGUUCUCUUCCGUAUAGUUAACCUGAAAAUACCGGUAGAAGAAAGCAAGAUAUUUACAUGGACAUAAAUUGUUGUGUGAUAUGGAAGAUAAGAGAGUGUUCUAUGGAUAUUAAUGAUAUUAAUGGUGAUAGCAAAGUACUGUUAUUGACUACACAUCUUGAGGACCCAAAUUUAUGAAUGCUCAAAUAAAAUGGCUGAUGAAAGAGCAAGAAGUCAAUAUUUCUGGUGUCCAAUUGACAAUUUGAGUAUGUACAGCCUAGUGUAUGAAUAGAGAACAAACGAAUGAAAAAAUGUUGUAGCAAAGUUUAUCUGCAGUGCAAGGCUUGUUGAUGCCAUUGAGCUAGCUCAUUUGGUCCGCGUUGUGACAUUUGCACAUCUGCUCAUGGACAUGAGCAUUCGUACUGAUGUUAUUUGUAUGUAUCAGCAAGUCAGAUGGAUAAGCCCAGAAAUACUAAGAUUAUACGAGCUGAUGUCCAUCAAAGUGAUUGUACUGGUGUGCGGAUUAUAUUUGUUUGAAAAGCAAGCAUGUUGUAUAUAAACACAAAAGCAGCAGAGAAAUUAUGAGCUCAGAUCCAUUAUACUGGUUGUACAUGUAACGAGGACCACCCAUUACAGUUUGUCCAAAAGUAGUCUAGCACAUAUGUCUCUUGUAUUUAUAGUACAGGAAAGUAGAAAUACGGACAACUCUUAUUACUGUCACAACAUUAAAUGAUCAGCCUCUGCUCAAGAGCUUUGCAUGUAAGAUCAGAUCCAGCGCGGCGAGACGGUCUGAGCCCUCGGCUCAUACGACUAGGCUUCAUCAGUAUUGCCUACCUGCUUCUCCAAGACAAUUCAGAAAAAUUAUGAAAAA